rnacentral:rRNA from 1 species
UACAGGGGGUGCAAACGUUGCUCGGAAUCAUUGGGCGUAAAGCGCACGUAGGCGGUUCGUUAUGUCGGAUGUGAAAGCCCUUGGCUUAACCGAGGAAGUGCAUCCGAAACUGGCGAGCUAGAGUACGAAAGAGGAUCGCGGAAUUCCUGGUGUAGCGGUGAAAUGCGCAGAUAUCAGGAGGAACACCGGUGGCGAAGGCGGUUCUCUGGGCCUGUACUGACGCUGAGGAGCGAAAGCGUGGGGAGCGAACAGG